rnacentral:misc_RNA from 2 species
AACGCACCUUGCACUUUUGGGUAUUCCUGAGAGUAUGUCUGUUUGAGUGUCGUGAACCUCUCAAAACCCCCUUUUGUUUAACUACGAAAGUGUUUGGGCUUUGGAUGUUGACUGCUUGUCGUUCUGAAUGACUCGGUCGAAAUAUAAGAGCUGAAGCUAAUGAUUGCAUUACUACAGUCUCAGGACUUGGCGUGAUAAUUAUUUCGCUAAGAAUCGAGUGCUGUGCGCAGUUGUCAAGCGGGCUACUAAAUCAAUACUUUUUCAACUUAGACCUCAAAUCAGGCAGGGCUACCCGCUGAACUUAA